CCUACGGGUGGCAGCAGUAGGGAAUUUUGCGCAAUGGGCGAAAGCCUGACGCAGCAACGCCGCGUGAUUGAUUAAGCCCUUCGGGGUGUAAAGAUCUGUCAGUGGGGACGAAACUUGACGUUACCCACUGAGGAGCCACCGGCUAAUUCCGUGCCAGCAGCCGCGGUAAUACGGAGGGUGCACGCGUUGUCCGGAAUCAUUGGGCGUAAAGAGUGCGUAGGUGGCAUUUUAAGUCUGGUGUUAAAUGCCGAAGCUCAACUUCUGUUCGGCACUGGAUACUGGUAAGCUUGAAUGCGGUAGAGGUAAAGGGAAUUCCUGGUGUAGCGGUGAAAUGCGUAGAUAUCAGGAGGAACAUCAGUGGCGUAGGCGCUUUACUGGGCCGUAAUUGACACUGAGGAACAAAAGCCGGGGUAGCAAAUGGGAUUAGAUACCCCUGUAGUC
rnacentral:rRNA from 1 species